rnacentral:rRNA from 1 species
CCUACGGGUGGCAGCAGUGGGGGAUAUUGCACAAUGGGGGAAACCCUGAUGCAGCGACGCCGCGUGUGUGAAGAAGUAUUUCGGUAUGUAAAGCCCUAUCAGCAGGGAAGAAAGAAGACGGUACCUGACUAAGAAGCCCCGGCUAACUACGUGCCAGCAGCCGCGGUAAUACGUAGGGUGCGAGCGUUAUCCGGAUGCACUGGGUGUAAGGGGAGCGUAGUCGGCCGUGCAAGCCAGGAGUGAAAGCCCGGGGCCCAACCCCGGGACUGCGCGUGGAACUGUGCGGCUGGAGUGCGGGAGGGGCAGGCGGAAUUCCUGGUGUAGCGGUGAAAUGCGUAGAUAUCAGGAGGAACACCGGCGGCGAAGGCGGCCUGCUGGACCGCGACUGACGUUGAGGCUCGAAAGCGUGGGGAGCGAACAGGAUUAGAUACCCGGGUAGUC